rnacentral:rRNA from 1 species
UGGGGGAUAUUGCACAAUGGGCGAAAGCCUGAUGCAGCGACGCCGCGUGGGGGAUGAAGGCUUUCGGGUUGUAAACCUCUUUCGCUAUCGAACAAGGCCCGCUUAGGGUGGGUUGAGGGUAGGUGGAGAAGAAGCGCCGGCUAACUACGUGCCAGCAGCCGCGGUAAUACGUAGGGCGCGAGCGUUGUCCGGAAUUAUUGGGCGUAAAGGGCUUGUAGGCGGCUUGUUGCGCCUGCUGUGAAAACGCGGGGCCUAACUUCGCGCGUGCAGUGGGUACGGGCAGGCUUGAGUGUGGUAGGGGUGACUGGAAUUCCAGGUGUAGCGGUGGAAUGCGCAGAUAUCUGGAGGAACACCGAUGGCGAAGGCAGGUCACUGGGCCAUUACUGACGCUGAGGAGCGAAAGCAUGGGUAGCGAACAGG